GGCCCCGUGGUGUAGCGGUUAUCACGCCUGCCUGUCACGCAGGAGAUCGUCGGUUCAAAUCCGAUCGGGGUCGCCA
rnacentral:tRNA from 1 species